UCGAGGGGCAGCACGAUGUAGCAAUACAUUGGUGGCGACCGGCGCACGGGUGAGUAACGCGUAUGCAACCUACCUAUCAGAGGGGAAUAACCCGGCGAAAGUCGGACUAAUACCGCAUAAAACAGGGGUUCCACAUGGAAAUAUUUGUUAAAGAAUUAUCGCUGAUAGAUGGGCAUGCGUUCCAUUAGAUAGUUGGUGAGGUAACGGCUCACCAAGUCCACGAUGGAUAGGGGUUCUGAGAGGAAGGUCCCCCACACUGGUACUGAGACACGGACCAGACUCCUACGGGAGGCAGCAGUGAGGAAUAUUGGUCAAUGGGCGAGAGCCUGAACCAGCCAAGUCGCGUGAAGGAUGAAGGAUCUAUGGUUUGUAAACUUCUUUUAUAUGGGAAUAAAGUGAGGAACGUGUUCCUUUUUGUAUGUACCAUAUGAAUAAGCAUCGGCUAACUCCGUGCCAGCAGCCGCGGUAAUACGGAGGAUGCGAGCGUUAUCCGGAUUUAUUGGGUUUAAAGGGUGCGUAGGUGGUUAAUUAAGUCAGCGGUGAAAGUUUGUGGCUCAACCAUAAAAUUGCCGUUGAAACUGGUUGACUUGAGUAUAUUUGAGGUAGGCGGAAUGCGUGGUGUAGCGGUGAAAUGCAUAGAUAUCACGCAGAACUCCGAUUGCGAAGGCAGCUUACUAAACUAUAACUGACACUGAAGCACGAAAGCGUGGGGAUCAAACAGGAUUAGAUACCCUGGUAGUCCACGCAGUAAACGAUGAUUACUAGCUGUUUGCGAUACACAGUAAGCGGCACAGCGAAAGCGUUAUGUAAUCCAC
rnacentral:rRNA from 1 species